UUUAAGGGCUUGAAUGUCUGCAACUGUCAUGUGUACACUUAAAGUAUGGGAUGUGUCAACACGACCCUUUCUAGCGCGCUCGUUUCUUGUCUGAAUCCCCGCAUUUCGCCAAUUUGCUAGGAGCACAGAACGCCCUCAGCGAAAGGGGCUGCUGAUUCCGAAUUUGCUCAGGUAUCCCGCAGCUUGUUGGCCUCCGGGUUCCCCGUGCCGUGCCCCCGGGAGGCUCUCCACAGACACCGGUUGCGCCGAAUUAUACGAGAUUGAACGGGUUUUUGCGUGUGUGUGCAACACGACAAUUUGCCAGCUGUUCCACAGUGCGCUCCGCCGGGCGAUGGAAACUUCGCUGUGUUAACGCACAGCAGAUUGGAGGGCACGACCCGGAAGGAAGGAAGAGGCGAGCAGGGAAAGGCGGCGACCCUAGGCCCGCCGGCCAGUCGUUUCCAGCGUCAGUUCAGCACUGAGCGGGGGCUCCCGGAGCUGCGGCCGGCCGGGGUUUCGGCCAGAGCCGCGGAGGCCGCCCGGCGGUGGGUGCGACUCUUCUCCUCUCCAGGGAGCGGCGGCUGAAGACCCGACCCACCCGCAGCGCUGCCGUCGGCCCCGCUGGUCCCCCGCGCGGGCACAAAAACAGGCGGCCGUUCUCCAGCUCUCUUUUCCCAAACCUGAACCGCCACGCCGAAGGUGCUUCCUAAGCCGCGGCUACCCGGGCUUCACGCCCGCCGGGCAGGCGUGAACCAGCCCCAGGACAACCGUUUUCCUCCUCACUCUAUGUGAAUCGUUGUCCCUCUGACUCGAAUGUCACCUGAUUUUCCCAGCCGUGACCUCCAGCGACGGGACUCCGAGGAACUGACUCCAGCGUCUCAGUUCUCUCCGCCUCUGCGCCCGUGUUGGCUGAAACGGUUUGCAGCCGUCGGGGCAGAGUGAGUGGGAUGUGGCAACCACCAGCCCCAGCCCGGAGAAGAAAAGAGGACGAAAUUAACGCGAAAGGACACCGGAAGUCAGAAAGCGACUCCCUCAGAUCCUCGGAAUCCGAGGCAAACCCUAACACUAGUUUGAAAGCGGAUCGUAUCCACUUUCGUAUCGUAUCCUGGAAUCAUCCAGGAUAAAUUCGGGUUGGGAAACAUACUCCCCAGAGCGUAAGAAAACUGACUUACAACAAUACAAAACAGACAAGCACAAAGUGCAAAGGAGUUUGCAAAAGUUGUUGCUCUCAGAAAAAAAAAAAGUGUGUGUGUAUAUAUAUGUAUACAUACACACAUCCUAUAAUAUGAUUUCAAUUUGCAAAAAUACUCUCUAAGAGGAUGUAUUUUUAAAACCAGUGGCAGCUUCGGAGGGAGUGGGGAUUCGCUGCGAAGGGGAGAAGGAAGCCUUUUUGAGGUGACCUAAAUGUUUUUGUAUCUUGAUUAUGGUGGCUGUUAUUGGAGGGGGGCCGCAUCCAAGUGUCAAGACUCAUCGAACUGUACCCUUUUGUUCAAGGUACAUUAAACCUCAAUAAAGUGGAUUUUAAACCUAAAUAAGCCGGUAACAGCUUUGCCUGGGUGGCUAGGGGAGAGGCCUGGGACACUUUACAUUGAUCUCCCUCUUAACACGCGUUCAUUUUGGUUUGGUUUUGUUUUUAUGAUGUGUUAUUUAUUCAAAAAUAUAUCAUUAGCAGAGUGACUGAUGUAAAUGUUAAACAAUUGUUAAGGAAACAAAAGCGGGAACAAGAGACACUUGUGCAUCCUGUCAGAGGGAGAAGAAUAAGCACUCGCUGUCCAAGCUCAUAAAAUAUUUUGGAAAUGAAUGUCGUUCAGUUUUGGGUUUUUUUGUUUCUGUUUUUUUGUUUUUUGUUUUGUUUUGUUUGUUUGUUUGUUUUUUGCUUUUUUGCUCAUGUGUUCAACAUCAAGGAGAAAUGAGGACCCAAAACUUAUCCACUGGUUACGUUGGUGUGUGUGGCUGUCAUCUCCUUGGGACUGGCUACUGAAGGCCACAGGAGUGGGAGGACCAAAGGCUCCCUGGAUGUUGUGUCCUGGCCUGUGAGCUGCACACAGUCCCGCUUGCAGCAAAGAUGGGGUGGCCGGCUGCGCUGUGAGGGAAGGCCAGGCCCCGACAGGAACCUCAGAUCUCACCAGGGGAUGAGAGUGGUAUCCCCCUGCAGCGGGAGUCCGUGCUGGCCUGAGAGGCUCCAGGCUGUGCCACCCCUGGGCAGACCCCAAACUUCAGGGAGCUGCCAGGAUCAGUGGCUACAAGGGUCCCUGCCGAGUUUGGAGAAACAAGACAACUACCCACGUGCCUGUCCACCUCUGCCUACUCUCCAGGUGAAUUCAGGUAAGAACCUGGGAUGUCUCCCGGGAUAGUGCAGCUGGAAAGGAAUGCUGGGUACACCUCUUACCACCAAGGAGAGGAGACAGACACAAAACUGGGGACCAGACAGGAAAAGAGACAUGCUCAAGGCUGAAGGCUGUUUGUCCUGCUAGUUUGGUCAAAGUGCGGCGUGGAGAGGCGGCCAGGUUGGGUCAGCGGCCCUUGGGAAAAAAGAUGUGUCCCUGCUGGGGGCCAGAGAAUCAAGUUUCCUUCCACCCGACCCCCAACCACUGCAACUUCUAUUUAGAUCUAUUUAGAGGGAUUUUUUUUUUUUCUCACUCGGAAACAGUGAGGACUGACAAGAAAAGUUGCGAAUCGCUCUCGGACUUUUCUCUAAGGGGACCAGCAUGGGUCCCCCCAAUUUCUAUUUUGCACGCAUUUGUCCAUUUUUGCCCCACCUCCUCUCUCCUGCAACACCAAGACCUUUUUGGAAGCCAAGAGAAGUCAUUACCCGAUUCACACAGGGCAUAGAGAGUGUAAAAGUCACUAAUUUUGUUCAAAUAAGGAGGGUAUUUUUCCUUCCCUUUUUGUAACACCUGACCCACAGGACUGACAGCUCUAGGAAGCCCCCUUACCCGAAAGUAGGAAAUAAAUCCUUGCCGCCUUGAUUUGUAAA